rnacentral:rRNA from 1 species
UACAGAGGUCUCAAGCGUUGUUCGGAUUCAUUGGGCGUAAAGGGCGCGUAGGCGGGCAGCCAAGUCAGGGGUGAAAUCUUUCGGCUCAACCGGAAAAUUGCCUUUGAAACUGGCUGUCUCGAGGGAGGUAGGGGCAUGUGGAACUUCCGGUGGAGCGGUGAAAUGCGUAGAGAUCGGAAAGAACACCAACGGCGAAAGCACUCUGCUGGGCCGACACUGACACUGAGAGACGAAAGCUAGGGGAGCGAACAGG